AUUGAACGCUGGCGGCAGGCCUAACACAUGCAAGUCGAACGAGUGGCGGACGGGUGAGUAAUGUCUGGGAAACUGCCUGAGGGAGGGGGAUAACUACUGGAAACGGUAGCUAAUACCGCAUACCAUCAGAUGUGCCCAGAUGGGCUUAGCUAGUUGGGGGGGAAACGGCUCACCAAGGCGACGAUCCCUAGCUGGUCUGAGCGGAUGACCAGCAACACUGGAACUGAGACAGGGUCCAGACUCGUACGUGAGGCGGCAGUGGGGAAUAUUGGACAAGGGGCGCAAGCUUGAUGCAGCCAUGCCGCGUGUAUGAAGAAGGCCGUCGGUUUGUAAAGUACUUUCAGCGGGGAGGCGUUACCCGCAGAAGAAGCACCGGCUAACUCCGUGCCAGCAGCCGCGGUAAUAC
rnacentral:rRNA from 1 species